rnacentral:ribozyme from 1 species
ACAUUUCCUACGAAAAUGUGGCGACCGGAUUUUACAUGAACGAAUUGAAUCACACAGCGAACGGGUUAUUUUACCCGAAAGGCGGUUGGAAAUUUUUGGCCAAUCAU